rfam:Triticum aestivum genome assembly, contig: Triticum_aestivum_CS42_TGACv1_scaffold_019947_1AS
GUAGUAUUCCCUCCGUCCCAAAAUUCUUGUCUUACAUUUGUUUAGAUACGGAUGUAUCUAACACUAAAAUGUAACUAGAUACAUCCGUAUUUAGACAAAUUUAAGACAAGAAUUUUGCGACGGGGGGAGUACAAA